rnacentral:rRNA from 1 species
GGGAGCUUGCUCCCUGAUGUUAGCGGCGGACGGGUGAGUAACACGUGGGUAACCUGCCUGUAAGACUGGGAUAACUCCGGGAAACCGGGGCUAAUACCGGAUGGUUGUCUGAACCGCAUGGUUCAGACAUAAAAGGUGGCUUCGGCUACCACUUACAGAUGGACCCGCGGCGCAUUAGCUAGUUGGUGAGGUAACGGCUCACCAAGGCGACGAUGCGUAGCCGACCUGAGAGGGUGAUCGGCCACACUGGGACUGAGACACGGCCCAGACUCCUACGGGAGGCAGCAGUAGGGAAUCUUCCGCAAUGGACGAAAGUCUGACGGAGCAACGCCGCGUGAGUGAUGAAGGUUUUCGGAUCGUAAAGCUCUGUUGUUAGGGAAGAACAAGUGCCGUUCAAAUAGGGCGGCACCUUGACGGUACCUAACCAGAAAGCCACGGCUAACUACGUGCCAGCAGCCGCGGUAAUACGUAGGUGGCAAGCGUUGUCCGGAAAUUAUUGGGCGUAAAGGGCUCGCAGGCGGUUUCUUAAGUCUGAUGUGAAAGCCCCCGGCUCAACCGGGGAGGGUCAUUGGAAACUGGGGAACUUGAGUGCAGAAGAGGAGAGUGGAAUUCCACGUGUAGCGGUGAAAUGCGUAGAGAUGUGGAGGAACACCAGUGGCGAAGGCGACUCUCUGGUCUGUAACUGACGCUGAGGAGCGAAAGCGUGGGGAGCGAACAGGAUUAGAUACCCUGGUAGUCCACGCCGUAAACGAUGAGUGCUAAGUGUUAGGGGGUUUCCGCCCCUUAGUGCUGCAGCUAACGCAUUAAGCACUCCGCCUGGGGAGUACGGUCGCAAGACUGAAACUCAAAGGAAUUGACGGGGGCCCGCACAAGCGGUGGAGCAUGUGGUUUAAUUCGAAGCAACGCGAAGAACCUUACCAGGUCUUGACAUCCUCUGACAAUCCUAGAGAUAGGACGUCCCCUUCGGGGGCAGAGUGACAGGUGGUGCAUGGUUGUCGUCAGCUCGUGUCGUGAGAUGUUGGGUUAAGUCCCGCAACGAGCGCAACCCUUGAUCUUAGUUGCCAGCAUUCAGUUGGGCACUCUAAGGUGACUGCCGGUGACAAACCGGAGGAAGGUGGGGAUGACGUCAAAUCAUCAUGCCCCUUAUGACCUGGGCUACACACGUGCUACAAUGGACAGAACAAAGGGCAGCGAAACCGCGAGGUUAAGCCAAUCCCACAAAUCUGUUCUCAGUUCGGAUCGCAGUCUGCAACUCGACUGCGUGAAGCUGGAAUCGCUAGUAAUCGCGGA